rnacentral:lncRNA from 1 species
GGGUGUGAAAGAGGGUGUGUUUAAUUGGGUGUAGGGGCUCCAAAAGUUGGCACCUAAUAGGAUUCCUAAUGUAAGUUAAAUAACUUAAGUUAUUAGGAAAUCUAAUGCAAGUAGGACUUAUAUUAUAAGAUUGAAUAGGAUUCAAUCCUCAUGCCUAUUUAAAGAGACCUCUUUUAAGAUCUCUAGAGCAUCUAACCAG